AAUGCAAUAUUUCUAGAAAUGGACUGCAAAAAUCCUGCUGGGGAAGUUCAAGGAGACUAGGGAGAAGGGAGAAACAAAAAACAGUCUGGAGCUGGCUGGAAAAGUUUUUGCGUUUCUGGAAAAGUAAUGUUGGCAUGUUUGCCUCCAGUCCAGAAAGGGGGAGAGAGGUUUCCACCAGACAAAGCAGCUGUAAAUACUCAUUAGCAGAGUGCAAGGAAAACGUGAGGACAGACUCCCAAUGUGUCAUGUCCUAAGGACAUCAAGAGUUGUGACAGAUUCUAUUCCUGCCUUAGUUACCAGCAUUUAGACCAUCCACUGGGCAGUGGGCUGAGAUGAUUCUGAAUUUAUCCAACCAGACAUCUGCACAUCAAGAUAAAUAAAAUUAUCAGUUGGCCUGUGUUCUGACACUUGAAUUAUCUCACAAAUCUCAGCAGGAUCUUUGUCUGUAUGACAGCUGCCAUAUUGGCCUCUGAUAUCUGCUUUGGCAGCAAGGUCAGAAUCUGGAAUCUGAACAUAAGAGCAACCUGAGAAUAAGCCAGGGAGUGGAGGUGAGGAAAAUCCUCCUCCUUAAGUUACAACUCCCAAACACUCUUUUUUGGCAACUUUGUAGUCCAAAGCUGUGUUGUAGAAGGAUACGGAACAAAAGUGUCCACAUCUGCAAGCAAGGCUGACCCAUCUGCUGGGAGAACAUCUGACAGCUUCUUUUUUAAAGGACAGUGGGGUUUGUUUGCCCUCUGUGGGCUGUGGGGGCUGGGGACAACAGAACACCACGAGAACACCUAUGGAACACCUAUGGAACACCUCUGGAACACCAACAGAACACCACCCCUCCCAUCAUCCUCCGCUGACUCUGAGUAUUUCCUUCCACAGCAGCUCAGAGCUGCUCCAUGCUGCAGGAAAUCUGGUUCAAUCCCCUCUCCAGGUGCUCCUGUGUGUUUGCAGAGAGACCCAGUCAAGCUCAGAGGGAAGAGGAGGGGUCAGCUGCACAGCAAGGAAAGCUCCAGCUGCUGGGAACUCCUCUCCAGUUUCAGAAGAAAUGGCGUUGCCCACUGAAAGCUUUUGCUCACCAGUGCUGACAGAACACAGCAUUCCCGGCUCCACAGGGAUCCCCUCUGGAAUUGCUCAGGUCAGGAAUAGGAGCCAGGACAGAGUGGGGAGAUCCCUGCUCUUUCCUGAACACAGCACAGGAACUGCCCCUCCCAGGGGCUCUGCAAGAAGGGAUCAGCCAAGCCAUGAGGGCACACACACAUUUGUGCCUCCAAAAAAACAAGUUUGACUUGUUUUUCAACUCACUUGAAAAGGCAAAUAUGGUUUGAAAUUUCUAAUUUUUGUAAGGAAUUAUUUAACCCAAAGGCUAAAGCUGUUUUAUAUUUAAGACCGAAUUUAGCUUGAAGCAUAAAGAAAACUCUAGCAUAAAUUAGCACAUAUUGAAAACUUGAUGCUAGAGAAAUAAAAAGUUGGUUUAAAUCCAAGUGGUAAACCAAAAAACCAAUUUUGUGAAUUUGCUGGAUACUGUCAGUGAUUAAAUAAGUAAUUGUAAUCAGAUUAUAGACUCUCUGAGACAAAAUAAAAUAAAUGAGUAUUGAAAAACCUUUGAA